rnacentral:rRNA from 1 species
GGGGCGAAUUAGUGGGACUGCCGUUGUUAAAACGGAGGAAGGAGGGGGCCACGGCAGGUCAGUAUGCCCCGAAACUCUGGGGCCACACGCGGGCUGCAAUGGUAGCGACAAUGAGCUCCAAACUCGAAAGAGAGUGGCAAUCUCUAAACGCUACCACAGUUAUGACUGAGGGCUGUAACUCGCCCUCACGAAUAUGGAAUCCCUAGUAACCGCGUGUCAUUACCGCGCGGUGAAUACGUCCCUGCUCCUUGCA